UACGUGAGUAACCUGCCCUUGACUCUGGGAUAAGCCUGGGAAACCGGGUCUAAUACUGGAUACUACUGCGCAUCGCAUGGUGUGUGGUGGAAAGGGUUUUACUGGUUUUGGAUGGGCUCACGGCCUAUCAGCUUGUUGGUGGGGUAAUGGCUCACCAAGGCGACGACGGGUAGCCGGCCUGAGAGGGUGACCGGCCACACUGGGACUGAGACACGGCCCAGACUCCUACGGGAGGCAGCAGUGGGGAAUAUUGCACAAUGGGCGAAAGCCUGAUGCAGCGACGCCGCGUGAGGGAUGACGGCCUUCGGGUUGUAAACCUCUUUCAGUAGGGAAGAAGCGAGAGUGACGGUACCUGCAGAAGAAGCGCCGGCUAACUACGUGCCAGCAGCCGCGGUAAUACGUAGGGCGCAAGCGUUGUCCGGAAUUAUUGGGCGUAAAGAGCUCGUAGGCGGUUUGUCGCGUCUGCUGUGAAAGCCCGGGGCUCAACCCCGGGUCUGCAGUGGGUACGGGCAGACUAGAGUGCAGUAGGGGAGACUGGAAUUCCUGGUGUAGCGGUGAAAUGCGCAGAUAUCAGGAGGAACACCGAUGGC
rnacentral:rRNA from 1 species